GCGUGCUUACCAUGCAAGUCGAGCGGUAAGGCCUUUCGGGGUACACGAGCGGCGAACGGGUGAGUAACACGUGGGUGAUCUGCCCUGCACUUCGGGAUAAGCCUGGGAAACUGGGUCUAAUACCGGAUAUGACCUCCUGUUGCAUGACUUGGGGUGGAAAGAUUUAUCGGUGCAGGAUGGGCCCGCGGCCUAUCAGCUUGUUGGUGGGGUAAUGGCCUACCAAGGCGACGACGGGUAGCCGACCUGAGAGGGUGACCGGCCACACUGGGACUGAGACACGGCCCAGACUCCUACGGGAGGCAGCAGUGGGGAAUAUUGCACAAUGGGCGAAAGCCUGAUGCAGCGACGCCGCGUGAGGGAUGACGGCCUUCGGGUUGUAAACCUCUUUCAGCAGGGACGAAGCGCAAGUGACGGUACCUGCAGAAGAAGCACCGGCUAACUACGUGCCAGCAGCCGCGGUAAUACGUAGGGUGCAAGCGUUGUCCGGAAUUACUGGGCGUAAA
rnacentral:rRNA from 2 species